rnacentral:lncRNA from 1 species
UUCUGUAGCCAUUUUUGUACGAAUUUUUCAAACUUCAGUUGUAUCAAAACUACAGAUGUAAUGAAUAAUAGAGAUAGGCCAUUUUGUACACAUACCAAGGGGAAACUUGAUGCUAAGCAUUAUUAUUUAUUGUUUCAUUGCAUUUAAUAGAAAACGAGUACUUUGUGGCAAAUAAACCAAGAUUUUUAUAGAAAAUUCACAGC